rnacentral:rRNA from 1 species
UGCCAGCCGCCGCGGUAAUACGGAGGGUGCAAGCGUUAAUCGGAAUUACUGGGCGUAAAGCGUGCGUAGGCGGCGCAUUAAGUCGGAUGUGAAAGCCCUGGGCUUAACCUGGGAAUGGCAUUCGAUACUGGUGGGCUAGAGUCUGAUAGAGGGUAGCGGAAUUCCGGGUGUAGCGGUGAAAUGCGUAGAGAUCCGGAGGAACAUCUGUGGCGAAGGCGGCUACCUGGAUUAAGACUGACGCUGAGGCACGAAAGCGUGGGGAGCAAACAGGAUUAGAUA